CUUGGAGCCAACUUGGCAGAAAAGUGAUGUGCUGCAGAAGAUUGAGGGUGGUUUCGAACCCAGACUCGAUCCUUCGGUUUGUCUUUGAGGUGAUUUACAACAUCAUAACAAGAGUCAUCUGGGGACAAAUCUGUGCCAGACAGUACUUUAUCCAUCGGACUCUGCAGUUUUCUUCUGAGCUGUAGUUCUGCCGGAGUGAGGCCAGUGGUCUCAUGGACCGAGGAAUUAAGGGCAAAGCGGAACUCCGGAAGAUCCCUAGGUGACCACUCAGAGGGCUGGCAUGGUAUGCUUGGAACAAGGUAUCUAUGAGUGACUCAGAGAACAUCGGCAGACAAUAGGAAACAGUCAGGCUCAGUUUGCACUGUGGCUAGACAACCCGCAGAAGGUGGAACACGGGACAGGGCAUCAGGGACCACAUUGAGUUUUCCCUUCCUGUAUUCAACAAUGAAGUCAAACUUCUGCAGUCUGAGCGCCCACCACAGCAGCUGACUAGAGGUCUUGGUGGAUGAAAGGACCCAUUG